UUUAUGGAGAGUUUGAUCCUGGCUCAGGAUGAACGCUGGCGGCGUGCCUAAUACAUGCAAGUCGAGCGAACAGAUAAGGAGCUUGCUCCUUUGACGUUAGCGGCGGACGGGUGAGUAACACGUGGGUAACCUACCUAUAAGACUGGAAUAACUC
rnacentral:rRNA from 1 species